UCUUUCCCUUGGCUGCUGCCUCCUCUGGGUCACACUGCUUCUUAUCCUGAACACUUGACACGUUGAGGGUAGAAUUUAGCGUUUGGUUUUUACCUCCUAGAAUACGCUGUUUGGUAUGUGAGGGUUUCAGUACAAAUGCUGCUGUCUAUUUCUGUGCACUUAACAAUGGAGCCCAAACAGAAGAAGAGAAUAAAGCCUUGAUACCAAAAUUGGGAGAGAAAACGUGUCCAUUUGGACCAAACAUUGUUUUUGUUUGUUUGUUUUCAUCUUAAUAUGUACCAGUGGCACUUAACCAAAAGAUACAGUGAUAUUAGCCAUGUACAGUGCUUAGGACAGAUACAGUCUCCUUGACUUACAAUGAAACCACUAGGAUUUCCUUAUACGUUUUCCUUGAUUCACUGGUGUAGAAAAGGUAAAUUACACUUAGGCUCAGCCUGUUUUAAAACUAUGGUAGCUGUCUUAACUGCUACUUGUUCAUGUUGCUUCCUGGAAAAAAAUUUUUUCCGUUGAAAAUACCUAGGAUCUGCAUUUAGAACAAGAACUGUUAUUUGCCCUGACCUUUUCUUCAGCCCUACAGAGAAGCAUCUGUGCUUUUUAUGCUUGCCAUGGAUGUAACCUAAAAAGUUUUGGUGUAUCUAGGUCAGUCUAGCAGAACUUUUUUUCGUUUAAAUGGAGUUGAAUAAUGGAGAUUUUGUGUCUGGGAAAUUCCUGAAUUCAUUGAAAAAGUAACAAACUAUUCCUUGUCUCCAAUACGUAAAAUGAGCAUUUUCUCAGUCAUUACAAUUUACUGCCAGUUGUGAGUGGCUUUUUAAUUAACUCGACUUUCAUUGCACUUCGAUUGGUGACAUUUGAGGAGACUGUAUCUGUCUGCUUUGAAUGGCUGUUUUGAGGGACUGUCCCAUCAGUGAACAUACUGCAUGGCCUUGGAGAGAGACUCUGGGCUCUUGGCUCAGAUGUAUUCAUCAAAUACUCCUUUCAGAGCUCUUGUGGGUGUAAGUGACAUGAUGUGGCCAAAAAUCCAAACUGUGCAGUUGCGUUGUGACAAACAUGCAAUGUGCUGUAAAAACUCAAUUCAAUUUAAAUAAAAUCUCUAUAUUAGUGCUGCUUUGUUGGGUCUUUUUCUUCAUUUUUAACUUCUAAGAAAACACUCAUUUUUUCUUUUGACCCUGAGAAAGAACUGAAACAUUACUCCUCUGUCUCCCAGCUAUUUCCAUGUUUAAAAUGGCCCUCUCUUUUUUAUCAGCUGUAUUGUCAUUUAUUGAUCACACAGGCCGUUAUCCUUAUGGAUCCCAUUGAAUUUGGUCCCAUCUGAUGUGAGCUUUAUUUCUCUUUGUCUAAAAGUUCACCAGCUGGUUGAUCAGGCACACAAGAUUAUACUUAUCUUUGCCCGGUUCCCUCCUCAUAGGCUUCUGUUUUCAUUCCACCUUGGGUAAAUGGUCUUGAGCAAAGCAUUGGCUGAAGAGAGUAUUUUUCAGAACAGAUAAAAUGCCAGUCUUUUCAAUUUGUGCACUCAGGGUACUAUACCACCAUCGCCAUUUUAAUUUGGAGAGACAAGCAAUUCAACUGUUAGGACUAAUAAGAGCAUAGAAUGUGUUUUUGAGAAUGGCCG
ensembl:lncRNA